UCGUAGUCUACAAUUACAGUCGUUCUUGAAAACUGGAAAGUCCAAAACAAU
rnacentral:sRNA from 1 species